rnacentral:lncRNA from 1 species
AUGGCCACUCUGCAUUUUGUGCCGUGGAAAAGUACAGAAGUACUAAUGGCUGAGGAUUCUGAUGGUGACCUCUACGGAUGCCUCCAACAGUGGAACGGUUCCUUGUCUAGACAAUGUGGUGAUACACCUGUCUACUGUGAGAAAAUAGUGACUCUGCAGAGUCAAAUUCCCACAAAAAUGGUCCUGGCACUACCACAUCUGGACAGUGAGGCAAUCUUCACAGCGGAGUCCUCCCAAUAUGAGGAAUUACAGCAGCAGUACAUGGACUUGCUGCAGAUAAAGAAUGAACUAGAAGAAAGCUGUAUAAAGAAAGAUAAGCUUCUCCGUGAUGUACAACAAGCCUUAGCAGAAGAGCAGGCCAAAAGAGAGGCAGCUGAGAAGGAAAAGCAGCUUCUUGAGGAAAGGUGUAAACAGCUGCAGAAAAGGGUAGAGCUUCUAGAAAAAUGUUUCAAGGAAUCUAUGAUCCAAAUGAAAGAGCAGAUAAAGAGAGAAAGAGAAGUCCUUCUGAAAGAGCAGAAUAAGAGGAUUGAGAGGCUUGAGGCCCAAAUGAAAAACAUGACUAAUAAUCGGAAAAGCGCUAAAAACUACCCCACUCUAAUGGAAAUGGCAGAUGACAGUGAAGAAGAUAUUCCGCAGCCUUCAUGGUGGUCUAAAAUUUGUGAGCUGAUAGAAGAGUUGUGUUCCCUAAUUGUCAAGUUUUUCUCUUGUGGAUAAUUUCAGAUACCUGUGCACAGUAUUUGGACUUCUUCAAGCAACCUCUCUUACAGACCCUCACUUUUAUUUUGCAGACAGGUUUCUCCUUGAAAUCUUAGAGUUCCCAAAUCCCCCAAACUGGGCAGGGUGCCCCUUUUUUGUGCUUUCAUUGUACCUAUAGCAUGAUUUUGAAAAUGUGAAUUAUCCAAUUACUCUGUCUUGCUGAUGAUGCCUUGCCACCAGAGACUAGUUUAUCUUUAUCAUUGUCUUCUUAGCUUCUAUUUCUAUGUCCAGCACUUGAUUAGUAUCUGGAAAAUGUUAGUUGAAUAAAGUUCCCCCACGUUCUAUAUCCUCA